AGUGUCUUCACAUAAUUUCUUACUUUGUAACCAUGAUCCAUUACACUUUUUUACAGGAAGAAACCUAAGAAGAAGAAUCCUGCCAAGCCUGGGAGGAAAAAGAAGUCCAAGCCAACUGCUGCUGAUGCUACUGAACAGCCAACUCCAAGGACUAGAGGAGCACUGGCAAGGGAAGCUGCUGCAAAAGCAAAGAGAGAUGCAGAAGAAGCAGAACUGAAGGCAGCAGCAGCAAGGGAAGCAGCAGAAGUAGCAGCAAGGGAAGAGGUUGAAGCUACCAGGAAUGAAUUUGCAUCAUCUGUCCCUGAGCCAAGUGAAGAAGCAGCCCUUGAACCUAUGGCUUUGGCAGUGAUUAAUGCCCCAGAACCAAUUCAGACAACCCCCCAGCAAAAAGGGCACUAUUCUCAGAUGGUGAACAUGGCAAGAAACUUACACCAAAGAGGAAGGCCUUGGCAACUAAAGUGAAAAAAACACCACCUAAGAAGAAAGCACGCAAGAGCAAGUGAGGAGUGAGCAGUGAGAAGUGAGCAGUGACGCUAGUGUCUUUUGUGGUGUAUGAUUGGCUAAAUUACUGUAUUUUGCAUGGCCUUUGGCAACUUCUGUGUUGUAAAGUGAACUCCAUGUAUUCUCUGUUGGGAACUCCAUAUAGUUGGGAACAUUCUCUGUUGGUCAUCUUUUCUGUUCGUCAUUCAAAUUACCUCAUUUCAUUUGCUCAA